rnacentral:lncRNA from 10 species
GGGAGAGAACAGGAGAGGAGAAUCAGAGCUUUCUCUGGCUGCUUUUGGCCGGCUGGAGGGGUGGAGGAACCUUCAGAGACAAAGUAACUGAGGCCCUGCGAGGAGAGAAGGCCUGUGAAGGACAAUGAUACUCACUGCUGUGGUGGAAGCCAGGCAGGCCCCUUCUGACCCCUGCUGUGCUCCAGCCGGCACACCCGACUUCCCUCUGAGGAAUCUGGGCGUCCCUCAGUGGACGCAGUAAAAAGCUUCUCCAAGUCGACGUAGAACCUGGACCAGCACAGGCAAAGGCACCGCCAACCAUUCUGAAAGUUCUGACAUAACUCCCAGGCCUCAGGCUGCCAAGGCUGGACCCUGAACCUCGGUAAUCAGGAAAAGAACCUGGGGGCCUUCUGUCUCCCCCACACCCCUUUUUAACAUUUUGAAACAGAAUAUAACAUAAAAUUAACCAUUUUAAAGCAUAAGUUGAGUGGCAUUUAAUGCCUUCACAAUAUUGUGCAACCACCAUCUAUAUCAAGUUCCAAACAUUUUUUGUCGCCUCAAAAGGAAACCCUUUGCUCCUUAGCAGUCACUCCUAUUCCUCCACACCACCCCCAAGACCCUGGCAAUAACCGGUCUGCUUUUUGUUUCUGUGGAUUUACCUAUUCUGGAUAUUUCAUAUAAAUAGAAUCUUACCAUAUGUGACCAUUUGUGUCUGGCUUCUUCACUUGGCAUAAUGUUUUCAAGGUUCACCCCCCUUGUAGCACGUAUCUGUAUUUCAUUCCUUCUGAUGACCGAAUAAUAUUCCAUUGUAUGGAUAUGCCACAUUCUGUUUGUCUGUUCAAACACUGAUGGACAUUUUGGUUGUUCCCAUCUCUCAUUAUUGCAAAUAGUGCUGCUAUAAACAUUUAUGUAC